UACGGAAGGUGCAAGCAUUAAUCGGAUUUAUUGGGCAUAAAGGGCGCGUAGGCGGGCUAGCAAGUCAGAUGUGAAAUCCCGGGGCUCAACCCCGGAACAGCAUUUGAAACUACAAGUCUAGAGGAUAGGCGGAGAAAACGGAAUUCCACAAGUAGCGGUGAAAUGCGUAGAUAUGUGGAAGAACAUCGGUGGCGAAGGCGGUUUUCUAGCUUAGACCUGACGCUGAGGCGCGAAAGCAAGGGGAUCAAACAGG
rnacentral:rRNA from 1 species